rnacentral:rRNA from 1 species
AUUGAACGCUGGCGGCAUGCCUUACACAUGCAAGUCGAACGGUAGCGGGCCUUCGGGUGCCGACGAGUGGCGAACGGGUGAGUAAUGUAUCGGAACGUACCUUUCAGUGGGGGAUAACGUAGCGAAAGUUACGCUAAUACCGCAUAUUCUGUGAGCAGGAAAGCAGGGGAUCGCAAGACCUUGCGCUGAUUGAGCGGCCGAUAUCAGAUUAGCUAGUUGGUGAGGUAAAAGCUCACCAAGGCGACGAUCUGUAGCGGGUCUGAGAGGAUGAUCCGCCACACUGGAACUGAGACACGGUCCAGACUCCUACGGGAGGCAGCAGUGGGGAAUUUUGGACAAUGGGGGAAACCCUGAUCCAGCCAUGCCGCGUGAGUGAAGAAGGCCUUCGGGUUGUAAAGCUCUUUCGGCCGGGAAGAAAUCGUAUCAGCUAAUACCUGGUGCGGAUGACGGUACCGGCAUAAGAAGCACCGGCUAACUACGUGCCAGCAGCCGCCGUAAUAC